GAUGAACGCUGGCGGCGUGCCUAAUACAUGCAAGUCGAGCGAACGGACGAGAAGCUUGCUUCUCUGAUGUUAGCGGCGGACGGGUAAGUAACACGUGGAUAACCUACCUAUAAGACUGGGAUAACUUCGGGAAACCGGAGCUAAUACCGGAUAAUAUUUUGAACCGCAUGGUUCAAAAGUGAAAGACGGUCUUGCUGUCACUUAUAGAUGGAUCCGCGCUGCAUUAGCUAGUUGGUAAGGUAACGGCUUACCAAGGCAACGAUGCAUAGCCGACCUGAGAGGGUGAUCGGCCACACUGGAACUGAGACACGGUCCAGACUCCUACGGGAGGCAGCAGUAGGGAAUCUUCCGCAAUGGGCGAAAGCCUGACGGAGCAACGCCGCGUGAGUGAUGAAGGUCUUCGGAUCGUAAAACUCUGUUAUUAGGGAAGAACAUAUGUGUAAGUAACUGUGCACAUCUUGACGGUACCUAAUCAGAAAGCCACGGCUAACUACGCG
rnacentral:rRNA from 1 species